AAAUAAAAUUGAUGUUAAAAAUGCUUCUGAACUUAAUGAGCACAAUGACAUGAGUGAAAUCUCUGUAGAGGAUGAGGUUGACUGUUCAGAGUUUAUUAGGAGCGAACCUGAAAACCACAAAAACUUGAUUUCUGAAAAUUCUGUGGAAUUUUCUUGUCUGUCCAAAAAUAAGUCCCCAAUCCUUAAAGAGAAGGCGGUUGUUUACCAAAAGGUUAGAACCACUCCUAAUCAGGUUUUUAAGGUCACAGGAGUAACAGAACAUCAGACAACCGAACUCACUGCCAUGGUGAAUGAAGAUAAUGUAGAUGGCUGCGAUGAGUUUUUCUGGUCUGCACUGAUAGACAACGCAGAUGAAACAGUUGGUUUGUCGGAGCGAACUUCAUGGAAGACCAAAGGUAGAUAUGUGGCUGAACCACUAAAUAAACCUACCAACUUUGGCGUGCCCAGUUCCAGUGACACAAAAGAGGUUCCGGUAGAAUGCGUCUCUUCUACAAGCGAAACCUCUUCCAUGGAAACUGAACCAGUAGUUCAAAAGCCGAAACAAAAGGCAAAUAUUCACAGACAACUGAAACAGGUGAAAAAUCAAAAGUAGUAGAGAAAUCUGAGAUACAAGAAAAAUCUCUCAGAGCGAAAGCAAUUUUGGCGCUCCCAAAAUCCUCACUAUACUCACGUUGAUAGAAACUCCAAGUCAAAAGGAGAAGAAAAUAAGAGUAAAAGAAGCUUCGGUCCAUUGGAUCAAAAGAACCAAAAAAAGACUUUCAGGCUACAGGAAGAACAAAACCGAAAGGACAGGGUCGGUCCCGAAAGACUUUCACGAUUUACUUGGGUAUUCUUUCUAAAGCACAAAUCUGAGGUGACUCCUAAACUGAAGAUCUUUAUCAAGCAAGUCGAAGUGCAACUGAGAAAAGUCGUUCGAAACAUCAGAAGCGACAAUAGACUGGAAUUCAAGAACAAAGAAUUCGAAGAUUUCUUAGCAGAAAAAGGCACCAGUCACAAUUUCUCAGCCCCCUAUACACCUCUACAGAACGGAAUUGUCGAAAGGCGAAACCGAUACCUAUGUGAGGCGGCCCGAACCAUGUUGAUUUUUGCUUCCCUUCCUCUAUAUUUAUGGCCUGACGCCAUUGCUGAAGCUUGUUUUACUCAAAACAGAUCCUAUCUCAACAAGCGUUUCUCUCUCACCCCUUAUGAGAUUAUUAACAACAGGAAGCCGAAUGUUAUGUUCUUUCAUGUGUUCGGUUCAAGGUGCUUCAUCUUCAACUCCAAAGAACAUCGCAACAAGUUUGAUGUCAAAGCUGAUGAAGGUAUCUUUCUGGGAUAUUAUCUUACUUCAAAGGCAUACAGGGUUUUGAAUAAGCGUUCUAAAAGGAUUGAAGAAACCUAUUAUGUGACGUUCGAUGACAAUUACGUCAAGAAGUUAAAGUCUACCGAAGAAGCAAUUGGAGAGAUUCUCUUAAACAGGUCAAGUCACUGCCUCAAUCGCCAAUUUCUUUGACCAGUUCAUGGAUUUAUUUGAUGAACCUGAGAAAGCCACUCAUUCUGAAGCAACGGCAGCAGACAAUAAGAUUGAUCACCUUAAGAAGAUUGUCGAAGAUGCAUCCAAACAAAUGGGAGAAGAAGAACCAGUUCGAAACGAACCUUCCCAGAGAGGUACUUCAAUCGAGGGGGAGACUCACUUUUCUUCAAAUCAAUAGGUCUCAUAUGUCUAGGGGGAGAAUCCAAUCUUUGACGGACCCGAAAGUCCGGUAGCACCCAAAAGUCUGAUAGCACCCGAAAGUCCGGUAGCACCCGAAAGUCCAGUGACAACCGAAAGUCCGGAUCAGCCCGAAAGCUCAGUUGAAGAAAGACUUCUUGGUUCAUCAUCUCUCGAGGGGGAGAACUCGGAUAUGCUCUAUGAUGAUGAUAUUCAAUCAGAGUUGGAAGAAAUGGUAAAUGCUGAAUUGGAUCCAUCCUAUGAUUCAAAUUAUCCUCCUCUCACCAAAUGGACCAGAGAUCAUCCUGUAUCUCAAAUAGUGGGUGAUGCAUCAGAAAAGGUUCUAACUCGAUCACAACUGAAGGCGAAGCAAACUGCUUUAUUCUCCAAAGUAGAAUUCUGCAUGUUUAAUUCUUUCAUAUCCAAAAUAGAGCCGAAGACCGUCAAUAUUUCUCUCGAUCAUUCUGAUUGGGUUCAGGCAAUGCAAGACGAGCUCAAUGAGUUCGAAAGAAAUAAGGUCUGGAGACUCAUUCCAACACCAAAAGAUGCCUAGCUUUUCGGUCUCAAAUGGGUGUUCAGAAACAAAAUCGACAAGGAGGGAAAUUUAAUCCAGAAUAAGGCUCGGCUAGUGGUGAAAGGAGAUUGCCAGGAAGAAGGAAUCGAUUAUGAAGAGACAUUCGCUCCAAUAGCAAGGCUAGAAUCCGUUCGAAUAUUUCUUGCCUAUGUUGCACACAAAAAUUUCGAGGUCUACCAGAUGGAUGUGAAGUGUGCAUUUCUAAAUGGGGAACUUGUAGAAACCGUGUACGUGGAGCAACCUCCUGGUUUUGUAAAUGAAAAGCAUCUAGAUCACUGCUACAUCUUGGAUAAGGUUGUUUAUGGUCUGAAACUAGCACCUAGGGCAUGGUAUGAAACAUUAACUUAGUUUUUAAAGAUGUCUAAAUUGAAACAAGGUUCGGUUGACCCAACCUUCUUUCGUAAAAAGGAAGGUAGCCACCUUAUGAUCGUUCAAAUCUAUGUCGAUGAUAUCAUCUUUGGCUCAACGAAUCCUAGCCUAACAGUUGAAUUUAGAAAGUUGAUGGAGACUAAAUUUGAAAUGAGCUCAAUGGGUCCGAUUAACUUUUUCCUUGGCUUAAAUAUUAGAUAGGGACCCGAAGGCAUCUUUAUCAAUAGGGAAGCAUAUACGAAGACUCUCCUUGCCAAUUUCGGCAUGAUGGGAGACUCAAAGGUUAAAGUCCCUAUGGCGUUUGGUACCAAGCUCACACCAUCUUUGGAAAAACCGACAGUCGACAUAACGCUAUAUCGCCAAAUGAUUGGUUCCCUGAUGUACCUCACUGCUAGCAGGCCCGAUAUAAUGUUUUCAGUGUGUUAUUGUGCCUGGUUCCAAGCAAAUCCUCGUGAACCACAUAUGCUGGCAGUGAAAAAUAUACUCCGGUAUUUGAAGCGAACCACCUCUCUCGGUUUCUGGUAUCCCUCAAACUCAGGUUUCUUCAUUCAAGCCUACUCAGAUGCAGACCUAGAAGGAUGUGCUCUAGACCAGAAAACCACUACAGGAGGCUGUCAAUUCCUCGACGGGAAAUUUGUAAGCUGGCAAUCUAAGAAACAAACAUGUGUUUCUCUGUCUACAGCCGAAGCAGAGUACAUUGCCGCUGCCUCCUACACACCUCAAGUGAUUUGGAUCCAAAGCCAACUCCGGGAUUAUGGACUCAAUAUGAAAAAGAUCCCACUAUAUUGCGAUUCAGAAAGCGCAAUUGGGAUCUGUCAUAACCCAGUACAACAUUCCAAUACAAAGCAUAUUGCACUAAGGUAUCACUUUAUUAAGGAUCAUGUGGAAGAAGGAAACGUAGAAAUUCACUUUGUUCGAACCAAUGAUCAACUGGCCGACAUCUUCACCAAAGCCCUUCCUGAAGCAAGUUUCAAUAAAAUCCUACAAGGCCUAGGUAUGAUGGAAUCAGAGUCAAUACGAAAACACCUUCUCAAAACUAAAAGUUGGAAGCGAAAUGAACCGAAUGCUCGGUCUAUUUCGGGUUCGGUUCACACGGGAACCGAAAUAAACCGAACGCUCGGUCUAUUUCGGGUUCGGUCCCACUACACUUAUUUUUGCUUAUCUCAAAAAAGUGAUAUCUUUGGUUGUAUACUUUUAUACAAUUGUUUUCCAAAAAUCCAAAAACCUUUUUUUAGGGAACCGAAAUGAACCGAGCGUUCGGUCCAAUUCGGGUUCGGUUCAAAAAAAAUUUUGUUUUGUUUGUUUUGUUUUUCUCUUUACAAAAUUAUCAAAAAUUCCAAAAAUAUUUUCUUUCGUUUUGUCUCUACUUCUGUUCAUGUCAACAGUUUAUGGAAUAUCGAUGGGGCAGGCAUCAUUCUCACACUUUUUACUAGCUAAGUGUCCCUAGAAGCAUGCUGCUGCAUGUUGUCCAAAGUUUCAACUGAUUUUGAAUAAAGCCUUAUUGACUGGGUAUAUACAAACAUUGUCUUCCCAAUUAGGCUGCCCCAUUUAUUCUAAUCAUGAGCUACGUUACUCUUUUCUCAUAUGAGUUAAAUGUUUUUUGCUUGGUCACUAUUUUUUUUUAUAUAACAGAGGUACUUUAGUUUCCUUACACCACCUCAAACAUUUAUUCUCCAUCAUAUUCGCUUCAUACAUGUAACCCUUGAGACUCUCAGAAAUUACCACUGAGGUUUAUGGUUACACAAUCUCCGUGUUUGUGAUCUUAGCUUCGUGUCACUACGUGCUAAGUGAAACCUACAAUUCAAUACCCACUAUGAAUUGACGGUGAACAAUUAAAUUUGCUCUAGCUUUCACUUAUGAAUUAACGAAUCCAUCCAAGUGGUUGUACCAUGAAAUCUCUAUUUUCCUUUUGUGUGAUUCUUAUGAAAUUGUUACAUACAAUAACAUUUCUUCCCAUGGAAUCCAGUUUUAAAUUUCCUUGAGAUUUCACACCAAGCAUUUCCAAGAAGUCGCUAAAAUACGAUCCAAACCUACUUGUUCAACAGACCUCAUUGGUCUCACAAGUACUUCAUUAGGUUUCUAUCUUAUGUCAAGAUCUAGAAUUCUGAACUGAAGCGAAAGCCUCCCCUCUAAGCCUCAUUAAAAGAUGUCUUUCAACACUUCUUAACAAGUGCUUGAUCGUAAUUCAACGGGAAACCACACAAACACUUUAAAUUCUCUCUUGACUUUGAAGGAAGAGAUUCGUACCCGGGAUCCACUGUUUCGUGUCUAUAUUGACAUCACAAUUUCCCACAUAUAUGUUGCUUUAUUUCUAUCUUUGACACUCUAUGCACGAAAAUAUUUUUUGAUUUUCCAAAAGUCUAGCUUGGUUCACUACAAGCUAUUUUUAUGGCUCUGGUCUUUAAUGCUAUAUUCUCAACGGGAUGCUGUGGUUUAUCUACGUGUUUGCUUUUAUUUAGUGGAGACAACUCAUUUUAAAGAUAAGAUGAUGACUCAGCCAGGAGACUACAGGUUUCAGGAAUUUAAAAAGGCAUUUGAUGGGAAAACGUGCACAAUGAGAACGUUUUUCUCUCUCAUGCGUAAUCAUAGGGGUUGCUAACUGUCACGCGUCAAUCAACUCAGAAACCGCUUCGCGUUUCAAGAAGAUUUGGUGGCGAUCUUUCUCUCACCUCUAGAAACGGUAUAAAGGGUUAAACCCUAGGUUUUUAUCUCUUUACUACACCCAAAUUUACGAGAGCAAACACAGACGCUUUUCUACCACUGUUCAUCUCCUUCUUCGAAGCACUCAUCAAUGGCGGAUUCCUCCUCUGUUCAUGAAACCUCCCACAUUCUCGUAAUCCGACCCUAGCAAAGCUUGGUCAUUGAUCUCACCCCAGUUUCGUAUGAUGCAUUCAUGUACCCCAUCGUGGAGUGUCUCAAACACUCUCCACUAGUUCUCGCUCUAACCAAGGUCGAAACUGUCCCUAUGGAGUGUUUAUCCCAGAUUUUCUCUACCGCCCACUACGAUAAGUCUGUUGAUCGCAUCUUCUUCGAUAUUCUUGAUACCAAAACCUCCAUCUUAAAACAACGAUUCUGCUCACUUCUAGGGUUUAAACCUGAUGAGUCAAGGGUUAACCCUGAGUCGAUUUUAGUGGGACAGUUGCUCUCCAUGUUUUACAACAUGGGUUACACUGAAAUCCUCACCACUGUGAGGAAGUUCAAGAAGUCAUGUCUUCCUCCUCAGUGGAAUGGCGUCUUCACGAUACUGUUCAAGGGUCUAUCAGAGAGGAGUGCAGGUUCAGAUGGGGCUAGUCGUUUUUUCAUGACGAUUAUCUACGGGUUGUACCAUGGGGUAAACCUCGACUAUGGCUCAAUUUUAUGGCAGCAGUUAAUUCAAAGCCUUGCCUCUACUUCUCGCCAUUCUGAAGUUUCAUAUGCCUGGUUUUGGACGCUCGUCACCAAAUGGGCAAUGGACAAGUAUCAUGUCCCCAUUGUGGCUAGAUCUCCACUCUCAUCCAUUGGCAUCUUCCACACUAUGAAGAUAAUUGUGAUGGAUCCUUCCAAGUUCCUAUUUGUUGGUUCUAUUCCAGAAUCAAUGUAUGCUUGUGUAUCAAGGGAGAGCCGAAUCAUCAAGACCUACAAGGAUUUUCUUCCUUCCGGUCCCAGAGAGCUCACUCCAGAGAUGAUUCAGUCUAUCAAUGACGCCGACAAACCUGCUCCCCGGGGCAAGAAACCAGAAAAGGGGAAAGACAAGAAGGUGGUCAAAGGGGCGAAAGGCCCUUCUCCUAAAAAUAGAAAGCCAACAAAGGCAGUCCAAUCACCUCCACCAAAGAAGAUGAAAACCCAGCCCAGGCGGAAACUCAUUCUUGCCUCUUCCUCCAGUGAAUCUGAGGAUGAGGAUUCAGACUCAGAGGAGUCAUUUUGAGGCGACUCUCCUCCUCGUUCGCCUUCACCUGAGGUACCAGUUUCAACCAAACCUGUCUCUCCUCCCGCGAUCUCUAUCUCUAUUUCCAUUCCCCCCAUAAACUCCACUACUCAUAUUCCACCCACUUCUAUUCCUGUUCCACCCCCCAUUUUCUCAAACGCUACAACAACAACAACCACUGAAGUUCGAACCAACGUAUCUGAUACGGGGGCGCGCACUUCAGCACCCAAACAUACACCUGUAACUGAACCUACUUCCAAACCCGAACCUACACCCACAACCGAACCUCCACCUUUGUCUUCAUCUCCCAAUCACUCAGCCGAUACUGAGACUUUUCUUGGAGGGGAAGACAUGGCCUUUGAUUCUGUCUACUAUAGUCCCUACCAGGUUCAAAGCGAUGAUGACGAUGAUGCUCCUGUCACUAAAAAGCACAUCAAGGAACUUCAUGAGAAAAUUGAUAGUCUCGUCGCUUCCUCCUCCUCCUCUCGGUCCAAUAUCUCAGAAGCUGCCAUUCAGGGGAUGGGUGAUACUUUCACCAAGGCUCAUGAAGCCUCUAUCAAAUCUGCCACUGCUGCUAUCGAGGCAUCCACAAAGGCCUGUGCUGUUGCGACCGAAAAAGUCGAUAAACUAUUUCAUGAUGCUAACGUAUUUUACAGUCUUUACAGGGAGCAAUUGACUCUAGUGCAGCGAAAGUGGAUUCCGCUGUUGAGAAGCUGGCUACUUCAUUUGCAAUAGAACAACAUCUCUUUGCUGAUCUUCGUCAGUCUCUUGAAGCUGACAAUAAAUCUUUCCAGGCAGUUGUUGAGGAGCUAUUGACCAAGCUCCAAGAAGACCUCGCUUUGAAGAACUCUGUGAUGGAUGCGCUUGCACGCAAAACAACUGCUCUAAAGGUCAAGAGUCUUCAACUUUCCCAAUCAGAAAAGGAGGUUGCUUCUCUUAGAUCUGAGUGUGCGGUCAUUUCGAGUUUUCUUUUGGAUGUCCAUGGAGCCCUCUCCAACAUCAUUGAAGCACAUGACCCAAUUCUCAACUACUCAGUGAGGCGAACACUUGCUGAAAAGCUUGCUCCUGUCCUUGCCCUGCUCAGCAAAAUUGAAGGGCUUCCUGAGUUCGUGGCCCUUCAAAGGGUGAUAAUCAAUCUUAACCGCCUCCCUCUUCUACAUCAGCUUCAACUAAAGCUACCGAACCACCAACAACUGGUCAUGCUUCGGGUGCGGGUGCUCAAGAUAAGGGGAAAAAGGCUAUGGAUGUCAGUGAUGGUGAUGAUGACAAAGAGACCAUUGCUGAUCUCUUGAAGAAACAGGCCAGGGAUUAGGAUUCAGACAUGAGUGUUCGGAUUGCUAGAGAGGCAGAAGCAAACGAAAGGAAGAUGAAGGAGGCUCAUGAUCUCCUUGAAAGUCAAAAAACCCUAUUACCUCCGUGGACUCUCGAGAAGCUUAUAAAAGAAGCUAUCGAUACCCCCAACAUCCUCUGGCUUGAACCUAUUAUCUCCUUGGACAGGGUUAAUUCUGUCGACUCUCAGUUCGACAUGCCCUUGACCCGAAAGGCCUUUGUAUUCCACGCAUUUUCUCACGUUGCUGAGGUCCCUCAUCCUCACCCGAAGGUUGAUAGGGAGCUUAUUGACUUCUAUCUGAGGUCUGCUCAGCCUCAGUAUUAGACGUGGAGUGCACAUAAGAUUGUCAACGUUCGGGUCCUCAAACCCUUUCGGGAGGGUAACUUCACAAAUGUCCAGUUCAAAGUGUUGAGGGGGUCAGCUAAAACCAAACAUGUCAUUUCUCUUUCUGAUCUUCCUAACCUGAAUCCACAUGAUUGGAUCAUCCUGCAUAACAUCCUCCUCACCAAUGAAGCUGAAUAUGGGCCGAUCAUAGAUCACUUCAAAAGGAUGUUGGUUUGCUACAUCAUGGAGGUUGCAAAGAUGGAUCAGGAGAUUGAUAGUGUAUUCAAGAAGAAGCCCACCAUCUCCCCAGUUGGUUCUGCAAGUGAUUUGAAUAUGAUGCAGAUGGGGAGGAUCGAUCCAAAGCGGAACUCAGUCAUGUUCACUAGAAAUGAAGGCCAAAAAUGUCUGUUCGCCUUCGCUGACAAGCAACUAUAUACCACUUCGUGCUUGUAGCAUAUUCUGGGGAUCAUUAAUCGGUGUAAGCAGAAUUCUGAAGAUGACAAAAAGUUUUUCAAUGAUAUGAUCAAGUGGUACAUUCGUUUCAGACAAACCAUUCUUGCCAUCAUUCCUCGUCUGUUCGAUACCACGAAGAAAGUUCCUGCAACUGGAUCCAGCAAGCCUAAGUAGAGUCUCGCUCCAAUUGACGAAAAGGGGGAGAUUGUAGGGUCCAUUAUGUGUUGCGUCUUGGGCUCGGUCCUUAGUCCAAUUUUGUAUCGGGAUUGGGCUUGUCCAUCUGUGAUUUUAUUAUUAUGGUUUAGUAUUUAUUGAUGCUUGCAUGCAUCUUUGUACGUAAGGUUUUGGAGUCGAUCAUUCAUAGUGAAUACCUUUUAUCGAUUGUAACCCUAAAAAGCCUCUACAACGGAAGUUCUUUGUCGAGCUCUACUGAGGUGUGAAUCUAUUGAAUCAUUCAACGUAUUUUGAUUCAUUCUCGUGUUUGAUAUUUAUGUUUUCAUUUUUCUAAUUAACUUGUAUAAGAUCUAAACGAUCAAAGAGUUUUUCAACUCUUCAAGUUGGAUUCAUGGAGCCUGAAGCCUUGGAUUGCUUCUUUGAUGCACCUGAUUUCGCCAUUGAGAGAUGAGAAAUUGGAGUUCUUGAGAGUUUAUGGGAGUUUUGGAGAGUUGAGAGAGAACAGUCGAUUAAGCACAGAGCGUAAACGAUUUUAGGGAAGAAGAUGGGUUUAUAAAGGAGGUAAAAAGGAUUUUAACCCUAGGUAAAAGAUAGAAGAGGGUAAGAAAUUGAAUGGGUUUUUUUAGGGGGAAUCAAUGAUUCUGGGAUUAAAUCUCAGCCACACGAAAAUGAAACAGGUUUUGGAAAGAUUUUGAGAGAUCUUAAAAGGGGUUUGCAUUUAAUGGCGGAUUAGACGCAUGAUAAUACGUCAGGUAAACGUGGGGCGAUGAGAGAGAAAGUUGUAACUGAUGGGACGUGGUUGGGAGAGGAAAGGACAAGUUGAGGAUGGAUUUAUUUGGGAAUCAUUCUUUUUGUCAUCAACCCUAAAAUAUGUGUGAUACGGAGUUUAUUCAGAAAGGGAAUGUGACAGUUUCUAAAGGGAAUGUUUGUAUUGUAUUUAAUUAAGGAUCAUUAAAUAGCACACAAAGAUUCGAGAGUUAAUGAAUCUGUUGGAAUUUAUUUAAGAUGACUGCGGAUGGAAUCAUUAUUGCGGUAGAGAAACUUUAUUGGGGAUGAGCAAAUAAAGACUUUAGAGAGAAUCUGUGAGGAAACACUUGUACAAAGGUUACAAAUAAAAGAUCAAUAAAACCCAUGAGUGGUACGUAUGACAUAUGGUUACGGUACCUAGAUUAUGGUACCAAAACCAUCUAUCAUAUGUAAUUCUCAGUUAGAACCGCAAUGGAAACCAAUGAUGGUCUGCAGUGGCUAACACCUCAGAAAGAAUUGCGGGUCCGGAUUCAUCAUUCCCAACAUUUGUAAGAAUGCAUUGAGUUUUGUAGAGUCAAGAGCUUUUGUAAAAAGAUCAGCAAUCUCUUCAUGAGUAGGAACAAAGAUGAGUUCAAUAUUACCUUUCAGAAUAUGAUAUUUGAUGAAAUUAUACCGUAACUCAAUAUGUUUUGUCUUGGAGUGCUAAAUAGGAUUAUGAGAGAUCGCUAUAGCACUUUCAGAGUCAUAGUAAAUUGGUAUCCGCAGGAUUCUGUACCCGUAGUCUAGCAAUUGUGUCUUCAUCUAAAGAACUUGGGAAUAGCAGCUGGCUGCGGCCACAUACUCGGCUUCUGCAGUAGAUAGGGAUACACACAUUUGUUUUCUUGAAGACCAGCUUACAAGUCUUCCUACUAGGAAUUGACAUCCACCUGAUGUACUUUUUCUAUCGAGCUUGCAACCUGCAUGAUCCUCAUCGGUGAAGGCUUGAAGACUGAAGUCGUUGCCUGCAGGAUACAAUAAACCCAUUGAUUUGCUUCCUUUAAGAUACCAAAUAAUUUCUUUCGCUGCGGUCAUGUGAGACACUUUUGGAUCAGCCUGUUAUCUUGCACAUACACCAGUUGCGAUGACAAUGUCAGGUCUGCUUGCAGUGAGUGAACCAAUGAUACCUCUAUAAGUCUUGUGAUCCACAGAUUCACCGGAGGGAUCAGCAGAGUCUUAUAACCGAAGGCCAUAGGGACCUUAGCAGAAGAGCAGUUGUCCAUUGAAUAUUUCUUCAGAAGUUCAUUGGUGUAUUUUUCUUGAUGAAUGAAAAUCCCUUACUCAAUUUGUUUGACUUGAAGAGCUAGAAAGAAAUUAAUCUCUCUAUUCAUGCUCAUUUUGAUGAGCUUAGCAAAUUCAUCUACCAUGCCUUGAUCAGUCGACCAGAAAAUGAUAUCAUCCACAUAUAUUUGUACCAUCAUGAGGUGGUCACCAUUUGCUUUUCUGAAUAAUGCGGGGUCAAUCACUUCUUUUUUGUACCCGGAUGAGACAAGGAAUUCAGAGAGUGUCUCGUACCAAGCUCUUGGGGCUUGUUUCAGGCCAUAGACUGUUUAUUCAAGCUUGUAGCAGUGGUCUGGAAAUUCAAUAUUUUCAAAUCCUGGUGGUUGCUGAAGAUAAACCUCUUUCUUUUAGUUCUCCAUUGAGAAAAGCACUCUUAACGUCCAUUUGGUGUACCUUGACAUUUUUGUGGGCUACAUAUGCUAGAAAGAUUCAGAUGUUUCCGUGCCUGCUACCGGAGCAUAUGUUUCAUCGUAGUCAAUGCCUUCUAGUUGACUAUAGCCCUUGGCAACAAGUCUUGACUUGUUUCUGAUGAGUGAGCCAGAUUGUUCUAGCUUAUUCUUGAAAACCCAUCUUGUACCAAUAAUAGUAUGACCUUGUGGAAGAGGAACAAGUUGCCAUACUUUGUUUCUUUCAAAUUCUUCUAAUUCUUUUUGCAUUGCGGCUAUCCAGUCUGCUUCAAGCAAUGCUUCUUUGAUCAUUCUAGGUUCAACCGAAGACAUAAAUGCUGCAUAAUGGCAGUGAUCAGAUAAGUCCUUGGAAGACCAAGUCCGGAUACAUGCGGAUGGGUUGCCAAUAAUUUGACCUGGUGGGUGGUCUUUUGUCCAUACAUGAAGACGUGGCAUCAGAUGAUCAGCAGCUACGGUAGAAGGGAUAUCUUGGAUGGCAGUGGAAUCUGCGGUUGGGGAUGGCAGUUCCCCCAGGAUUUGAGAACAUCCUGCUGAAUCAUCUUGAUCUAUUGGAGCAUAAUUUUCUUGAGGAAUUGGCAAAGGUUGAGGUUCCCCCUGGAUUGCGAAUGGGAGUUCCUCUGGAACCUGAGAAGGUUCCCCCUGGAAUGCAGAUGGGAGAGUGACAAUUCUAGGAUCGGUUCUAGUGUCAAUAUUCUCUAUGAAUUCGUCAUCUGACAACCCAAAAAUUUCCAUUCGGUAAAACCAUCCACUACAAUUGAAGUCAAAUGUGUAUAAACUAACUAUCAAACUUUUGGGAUAAGUUUAAGUGUUUUAAGGUUAGUGCUCCAGAGGAUAUCAGGAGAGAAGAUACACUAGGGUUUAAUAUGUUGCAAUAAGUGCCCAAACCUUCAAGAGUUUGGAAUAUUACAGUCCAAAAAUGGUAUUCGAACCAAAAACCCUCAAGGCUAAAUAAAGAAAAUUUAGCCAUUUUGGAUUCAUUUGUUACAUUUCUAGCUAGAGAAAAGUCGAUUUUCUGUCUCAAGGAUCUUCACCCGAUCACCCCCAACUGUAAGUACUUCAACUGUAUGUAAGUGUGUUAUAUGCCUUAACAACAUGAAAAUCAAGUCAAAACAACAAGAUUUGGGAGUUUACCGCCCAAGAAAAUCUUGGAGAGCAAACUCCUUUAUAAGGGCCAAAGUGUGCCCAAUGUCCAUCCAAGCCUUGGGACUAAACCUAGAGACUACCAUUACUUGUUUUAGACCCCCAAAACAUUAAGAAACAAGGCUAGAAGUGAGUUCACGGUCAAGGAAGUUCUUGGGCCGUGAACUCCAUUUUAGGGUGCCAAAACACCCAAAAUGCCUUCCAUAAGCCAAGAGACAACCAUAUCACUUUACCUAGAUGUGUUUAGGACUCAAAACAAUUAAAAUAUCAUCACCCAUACCUGAUUACGGCCGCAAGCUCAAGCCAAAUUGGUCCACGGGCCGAAAACUCAAGAUAAGAGUGUUUUGAUGCCACAAACACUUCCUAAGGCUUAGGCAUGAAUUUAGAAUGCUUCCUUAUGACCUUUAGGACCCUCAUAAGCAUAAAUGGCCAUGAGUUUACGGUAGUAAACUCAUUUGGGCCGUGAACUCCUCAAAAACUCCAAAUAAAGUGGUUUUUCUCAUCCUAGGUUAAAGCUAAUGUCCCUACAACAUUCCCUAGCUAUCAUACUUGCAUUCCCACAUGUGUAGCCAUGAGUUUACGGCUGUAAAAUCCCUUGGGCCAUGAACUCAUGGUAGUAAACUCAUGUGUGUGCCUUUAUACCUUCCUAUGUUGAAUCACAUGUGAUUCCAACACUUGGUCAAGGUGUUUCCUAGUCCCGGAAGGUGUUUUCUUUCAUAUAGUUGUCUAUAAACACUAUAUUCAUGUCAAUAUGUGUCCUUAUAUAUCAUUUAGGACUUAUUGUGUCUCGGGAAUUCAUUCGUGGAACUUCUCAUCCGUACGCGCAUACCCGUUUGAAUCACCCACAUCAGGUGAGUUCAUAGCCCGUAAUGAAUCUUUUAACUAUUUUAAUUGUUUAAGGGGGGGAAUACAAGUUGAAAACAAUGAUAAUUGUGUAAAUGUUUGUUAUAAACAUCUUUCAAAAUGUUACUUAUGUUAUUUAUAAGUUGUUAAAACAUUUCAAAACUCUUCUAAAGGUUAUGUUACUUUAUAGUUAUACAAAACUCCAUUUUAAAGUAUAAGCAUGAGUCUUUUUAGUAACAGUCCAGUUAGAGCAUUAGUAAACUAUUAUAGGUAUAGUUUAGGAGAAUACGAUUCAGUACUUUUAGUACAAUGAAGCACACAAAGAGUCAGAACAGAACAUAACAUAACAUAACAUAACAGAACUAACAAGUUAAUUUGCUAUAGCAUGACAACACGCAGACAUGAUCUAACUUUAAUGUGCAUUACACGGCUUGCAUGGAUUUGCUCGGGUCGCGUUUGGUUCCCUCAAUCGCCAUACAUGAGAGCGGUUAGUAGGGAUUCCAACUUUCAUAUUAUGACCGUAAUAAAACAAGUAAGUUUUUAGGUUGAUAGUACCUCCGUGUGUCAUUAUAAACGACAUCAGGGUACUCAAUUCUCCCAUUACUUUCAUAAAAUGUCGGUAACACUUGAAGGUUAAUCUAUUCUCUAUCCGAGAUAGGUUAUAAACUAGGGAGAAUGUACUUUACAGUUAACAAAGGAACAGUAGAGUCUUGGUAGAAGACUGCUUUCAUAACAGUAGAUUCUUAGUAGAAGACUACUUUCAUAACAGUAGGGUCCUUGUAGAAGACUGCUUUCAAAAAAGUAGGGUCUUGCAAGAAGACUGCUUUCAAAACAAUCGAGUCUUGGUAGAAGGCUACUUUUAAAAAGUUAGGACCAUGAUGCUAACCUUAUGAUUCCGUAAUGUAUACACUAUAGGAUACACAUAUGCUAAUUAGAUUCCGACAGCUAAUAGGAUGUGUGUUCUUCGCUGUAUGUCCUGUUCCAGUUGGAUGUGGGUUCACACCGAGGUCACCCAAUCUAUUAUCUACCCGAAUCUAUAUAUAUUUAUGCUUAGUAUACAUUAAGUAAUCAUAAGGGUACCAGGGAUGGAUUAGGUCAUAGGACAUAGGGUCAAUGCACAAUUUUUCUAGUACAAAACUUUCGUUUAAAAGUCAGUACUUUUGAUAUACAAAACUAACGAUUUCCCAGUUAAAGGCUUAAUCCAUUUUUGUAAGCCAGUACAGUUUUAAAGACUUUAAGUGAGUUAACUCUAUAAUACCUUAUUUUAUACACCAUGUUUAUAUAUAAAACUAGUAUCCGACAGCUAGUAGGAUGUGUGCUCUUCGUUGUACGUCAUGUUCCCAUUGGAUGUGGGCUUACACCGAGGUCACCCAAUCUGCUAUCUACCCGAUAUCAAAUUAUAUAUAGCAGUAUAAACAAAGCUAUAAUAAAAGUAAUCACCAUAGUCAAUAUUUUAUUAUAAGAAAUAUAGGUUUUCUUAAAAGGAACUCUCCAUUAGAUAUAAAGGAACCAUUACAAAUAACUCCAUGAGUAACAAGUAAAUACACCAAGGUUAUAUAUGACAACGAUCUAACAACCAAUGGAAUGUGUGUUAUCCACCUUACUUACUGUACCCCGUCGGGUUGUGGGUUGAGGGCAGAUGCGCAUAAUCGAUUGUUUGUUUACUCCAAGUAUAUAUAACUUGUACCCACUUAUUACGCAUAGAAAGGAUUGUAAUGUCAUUUUACUCAACUCCCAUUUUAAGUAGGAAAUAUAUGAUUUUCUAGAGGAACAGGCAAACUUUACAAAACAACACCUUAUAGCUUACAACACUUUACAUAUACAUUUUUGACCACAUUUUUAUAGCUUACUCGCAUCACUAAAAUCUUAUGAACUCACCAGCUUAAUUGCUGAUCAACUCUUUCAAAUAACUUGUAUUCUCAGGAGACUAUUAGACAGGUGCUCGUGCUGGGACUUCAGAAGAUGGAGCAUUAUAGCUUCAAGUCUUGUUUUGUUAUUUGUUUAUGACUUCUAUGUUUUGUGAACACAUACAUUGUAAACACUUUCUUUCUAAAUGAAAUGGUUGUUCAUUACUUGCUUACCAUAUACAUAUCUCGUGAUACUUGACAUGACGUCCUCCACCCCCGAACGUUUCCGCCGUUCCAGUUUUGGGGUGUGACAAUAUGCAACCCUGUUAGUGGAAUAACCAAGGAAGAUACCUUCGUCAGACUUUGGUGCAAACUUGUUGAGUUGGUCUCUGUUGUUGAUCACAAAGCAUCUACAUCCAAAGAUAUGAAAGAAACGAACAUUGGGUUUGCGAUUGUUGAGACCUUCAUAUGGUGUUUUAUUGAGAUGCUUGCACACAAUACUUCAGUUUUGAACAACGCAUGCGGUUGCUACUGCUUCAACCCAUAAUUAGAGAGGAAGUUGGGCGAAGUUAAGCAUGGAUCUGGCAGUUUCAACGAGUGUGCGGUUCCUUCUUUCUACUACACCAUUUUGUUGCGGUGUAUAGGGUGCUGAAAAGUUGUGAGAGAUGCCUUUGGAAAAUAGGAAACUGUUGAGAAGAUGAUUAGUGAACUCAGUUCCAUUAUUAUUGCGGAUGCGUCUGACUGGAAGCUUGAUUUGAAGUUUGAUUUCUUUGAUGAAGUUAAUGAAGAUUUGCAGUGUCCCUGAUUUGAGUCUGAGAAAGAAGACCCAUGUGAAGCGUGUAUAGUCAUCAACAAUAACCAGUAUAUACUUGUUGUGGUGAAGACUGGCUACGGUUGAGGGACCGCAGAGAUCAAAGUGUAAUAGCUCCAGUGGUUCAGCGAUAGAAGAAUCCAUUAUUAGAGGAUGGCUUGCUUUUGAUUGUUUACUGUAUUCACACGCUGAACAAAGGGUAUCGUUGUUGAAUUUGAGAAUGGGGAGACCACGGACUAGUUCUCCAGUGACGAGGUUGUUGAUGUACCGAAAGUUGAGAUGAACUAGCUUGCGAUGCCAUAGCCAGUAGACUUCGGAUACAGCUUUGGACAGAAAGCACAGUUGCGGUUUACCAAUGAUGAGAGAUACAUCUAGAGGAUACAUUGUUCCUUCGGAGCGAGAUUUGAUUAAGAAAGUGCUUCGAUCACUCGUCAUUAUGUAACAGAAUUGAUCAUCAAAUUCAACGCGAUGUCCUACUUUACAUAGUUGACCAACACUGAUAAGAUUGUGUUUAAGGCUUUCUACAUAAGCAACCUUCUGAAUGGAAAAGUUCCCCAUAGUCAGAACACCGUAACCUCGGAUGACACCGUUUGCAUUGUUGCCAAACAUGACAUUUCCACCAUUGCAUAUAGGCCUAAAAUCCCGAAGGUACUCUAACCUUCCGGUCAUGUGCAAGGAGCAAGCACUGUCAAUUAACCAUUCUUCUUCUUGUUCCUCCUUGCACAAAGCCUGAGAAUUACACGGUUAGUUUAGGCAUCCAAACAAGUUUGGAGCCAGGGACAAUUGAUGUAUUGUUAAGUGAUGCAUAGUCCGAGGUUGCAUGGACGGGUCUUCUGUCAACUUUUAGACCUAGUCCUGGGUGUUUGUUCAGAUUUGGAUUGUUACGAGGUUUUUGAAAAGUAUGAGGUUUUUGGAUUUCAUUUGACUUGACAUGAGAUAAAAACUUUUGACAGUUGCACUAACAUUUACAAAAAGAGAGUUUGUCAUUGAAUCUGACAUUAGUCAGCAGUUUAUAGAGUGAAUUGGACUUGGUAUUGGUCCGAGGUGGGUAACUUCUGAAAGAUUUGACAUUUGAUUUCUGAAAAGUUUGUUUUGAACGAAAUUUUGGACUGUAAGAUUUUACAUGCAUGUUGUUUGGUUUCUAAAAAGUUUGUUUUGAAUGAUAUUUAACACGUGUAAAUCUUUGAGUCCCUUUAGGUGGAUUUGGUAAGAUUCCCUUCCACUUGUUUUGAUGUGAUUUUAAAAGUGUUGGAGUGGGUAAAAUUGCUUUCCAAUUAGGGUCUUUUGAGGAAUAGACCUGAAAAAUGUAGUUUCUCACAGGUUUGACACCUUUUUGAGUUAUUUCAGGAGUAGCAGGAAUGACUUUUGAAACUGUACUUUCCUUUUUUCUUGUUUUCAUUAAAGAAGAGUUUUUUGAAAUGUAAUUUGUGAAAACGAAUUUUUCUGGACUCCUGGAUUUUGGAAUUCUCACAUGUUUCUUAUUUAUUGGAAAACUUUGUCUGCUUUUGUUUCGAGAUCUAAUUUAAUCUUUGAAAGCUCUUUUUUCCAAGGAUUUUGUUGAACCGCAGUCAUUGUUAUUCAACUGCGGUUUCCUGGAAUUUUUUGAAUGAUUUUGAAAACGUGGACUAGAAUCAUCAGAACUUGAGGAUUCUGGAAUUUGAGAGCAUUGGCCUACUUCAAAGUUUUCUAUAGGUACUCGUGAAAAAUCAGCUGAAAAGUUGUAGUUCCUUGAACUGAUGAUUUUGAAAAAGAUGAUUUGACUACCGUAGAGUAGGUUUUAGAUGAAACUACGGUGGGACACUUCUGGGACAUUUGACCACUGUUUGGAACACUGUGGUCUGAGGAGAAAUAUGGAAAGUCCUUUGAGACUUCGGGGCUUUCAAAAACAAUUUCUCCAUCAACUACGGAUGAAGUUUGAGAAUUUGAAUGAGUGGUGCCGCAGAUGGGAGUUUAAUCAUAUGUGUGACUAGAAUCCUCGGGCACAAUUUCCUCAAUGACACUAUUAUUGCUUAAAUUGUGUAAUCUACCGAAGUGAGUUUUGAUAUCUUCGGGAAAAGUCUUGUUAUUGACAGGGAAAUGAAAUUCUCUAUCAGGAGGUACAUACACUCUAUCUUUGUUGAACCGGGGUGAGGAAUCCAUUUCGGUACGACACCCAUUUGACCAACCCCAAUUAUAUGUAUUGUCCACAGUUCCAUUGCUUACCAAAUUUUCAAUAGCCUCACUUUCAUUAAACAGUAUUUCAAUUAAGAGAUUUAAGCAUACAAUUUCUCUCUGAGCUCAAUCUCUCUGGUUCAAAGCUAUCUCUAAUUGGGUUUCACUUAACAUUCUAGUAUCUUUCUCUAACUCUAGAUCAUUCUCCAACAUUGCCAUCUUAAGUCUCUUGUUAUUCAGUCUUCCUCUCACAUGGAACAUCUCUUGGGACACAAUGUUCUUCUCAUCUAGGGCUUUGUUAUAGUCUGUAAGGACGACAUCACAAGUGUCAUUAAGAUCAUCUAUGUAGGGUUGACAGUCAUGCAUACUAUAAUUUAAAGUUUGGAUCAUGAGUUUUACCUAUUCAACGAUGCUUAGAGUCCAAUCCUUUGCCAUGUAGCAGUAGUUUUUGUUCAACAUUUCUGACCCAUCAUCAUCCGUAGUGUCCAGCAUGUAGAUUUUCCCUUUUCCUUUAACAUUGCUGAUGGUCUCUUCUUCAUCUCCUGGUGACCAAACUUGAUGGUCUCUUUUCACUUGAGCCACAUAUGCCCUUGCCUUUUCUUUUUCUUCCAACUCUUGAGCCAUUCUAAGAUAGAAUGCUCUGUCGUUGACUACAUUGGCCUUACAGUAUUUUGCUAUGUGAUUUUCUUUAUUACAUUUGUGACAAAUGACAACAUCAGUCUUGUCUUCUGAUUGAGUAUCAGAGUCAUUGUUCUGAGGAGACUGCGGUACCUCCUUUGGUUGAUUGUUCUGAGGGCCUUUAGGAUAUCGAGAUUGGUUGUUCUGAGGACCAAAGUUACGAUUGAAAGGAGGUUUGUUAAAUUGUUGAUUCUUGUGGAAAGAAGAAGGUGGUAUGCAAUUGAUUUGUUGGCUAACCAGAGCAAUAGCCUUCUGAAAUUCUUCUUCAUCAUCAUACUCAGAAUCCGCUUCGUAUGACUGUGGUGGGGUAUCAUACGAUGAAGGGUAGGGUGACUACGGUGGAGCUUGUGCUAUGAGAGCAAGUGGUCCUCUGAAGUCAGCACAGUCUUUGAGUACAGUGGAUUCUUGUGCUUGGAGCUCUCCAUAGAGUUUGUAGAGUGAUAAAGAGUGAAUCUUCCUGUCAACUUGGACUAUCAUGUUAGCCGUAGUCCAAUGUCGUCCUAAGCUAGAUCUCUUUUGCUAACUUGCAGUUUAUGAUAAUAUCAUGGUUGUCAGGAGCAACACCACAAGAAAUUUCAUAAAAAGCAACAGCAUCAUUUUCAAUUUUAUCGAGAUCAUCCUUGGUGAGACGACUCAUGGUUGGUUGACCUCCUCCUAUCCUGGUUGCCACGCCGUCAGUUUGGACUGGUGUAAGAACUGGAACGUGUGGUCCUUCUUGCACAGAUCGCCAUACAUCUCUACCCAGUCUUCUUAAGUACCUAUCCAUUCUUUGUGACCAGUGAUGAUAUUCAUUUGCUACUAGUAUUGGAGCUCGGUUAGAACCACCAACACUAUUGGAGACAUUCAGAGAUAACGAUUGUGCCAUUUUUUUUUUGAGAAAUGAGCUUUAGUGGUAUAGAAGGCUUAAUGAGAAAAUUAGAGUUCCGAUACUCAAAAUGCAACCACUUUGGCUCUGAUACCAAUUGUUGAGAGAAAAACUUGGAGACACACUUGAACAAACGUUAGAACAAGUAUAUUGUGGAAUAGUUAAUCUCAAAGGAUCUAAAAGCUCAACAAUAAUAUAGUUAGAUAGUUAGUUGCGGAAAGUAAAGAAAUAUAAAUGACAACAAUUGUUAUAUCAAGAAUACACUUAAACUGAUUCAUAACAAGGAAUGCAUUCACUCCGAGUUAAUAAGGAAGAUCAAGUUUAGUGAUUAAGUCUAGAAGACUUGCUCUGAAGAGAGGUUAUAUUUCAGUAACAAUUUUAGAGUGUGAAGAGUAGUUAGAUGGAAAAAUGAAGAAGAUAACUUGGAGAAAUAUAUUCAGAAUAAUUCACAAGUCAUCGAGUGAAAAGAGAGAUGUUUGAGAAAGAAAUCUUGUGUAUUAAGAAGUUAAGAGUUGAGUCGAAUACAUUAGAAAGAGUCUCUAUUUAUAGAGUCUAAAAAAUAAACAACUACUCUAUAAGCAGCCGUGCAAGGCAUGCUGGACAAUAGAGUACAUUACAUAAAGAUAAGAAAGGAAAUAACAAAGACUGUGGAUGCUGAAGACUAGUUGCUUCUGGGUGCUGAGAUGAUCACGGAAGGUGAACCGUUGCGGUAGAUAGGAGGUUUCGGUAUCUUGGUUUAAGAGGGUCACUAUCGGGAUGCAGUUUUGCUUUGUUCGGUUUACCUCACGGUCCAUGAUCUCUACAGGUUCUUCCACAAAGUUGAGGCUCUCGUUGGUAUCGAUCUCGUCAAGUGGGAUUACAAGAGUCUCGUUGCACAUACACUUUUUCAAAUUGGAGACGUGGAAUGUAGAAUGUACGUUAAAAGUUCGCACGCUAGAUUGAGUUUGUAAGCUACAGGGCCGAUUCUUGCAAGAAUCUCAAAAGGCCCAAUGUACCUUGGAUUUAGCUUUCCAUGCUUACCAAAGAGUAUCAAGCCCUUCCAGGGCGAGACUUUCAAAAGAACGCGGUCUCCCACUAGGAAUUCCAAAGGUUUCCUUUGUUUGUCUGCGUAGCUUUUCUGUCGGUCUCUAGAGGCCUUCAAUCGUUCAUGAAUUUGAAUGAUCUUCUCUAUCAUUUCCUGAAUGAUCUCCAGACCAGUGAGAGUGCUCUCAGGAUCUCAUCCUUUGGCUAACUAUGUGUCACCCACUUCAGCCCAACACAGAGGGGAUCUGCACUUCCAACCAUACAAGGCUUCAAAUGGAGCAGCAUUUAUGCUCGUGUGAUAACUGUUGUUGUAGGAAAAUUCGACAAGGGGUAAGUGAGUAUCCCACGCUUUCCCAAAAUCAAUCACACAGGAUCUCAGCAUAUCUUCCAUUGUUUGUAUCAUUCUCUCACUUUGUCUGUUGGUCUGUGGGUGGUAGGUUGUACUCAUGUCUAGCCUCGUCCCCAGGGAACUUUGCAACGACUGUCAAAACCUUGAAGUGAAUAUACUAUCUUUAUCGGAGAUAAUGGAUAUAGGGACACCAUGCAGUCGUACGAUUUCCUUAAUGUAAGUUCUUGUAAGCUUCUCCAUUAGGCCCCACCAAAGGCCCAUAUCUGAAGUCAAACUCCACUCAUCGAUUCAUAAUCCGAAAAUGACUUACAAAGCCCCAAAAUUCUCAACCCCCAAAGAUGAAUAAGUACAUAGAAGACAAAGACAAGAUAUUUUUACCUUGAAUGAGAUGAAAAUGGAACAAAUCUGUUGGAUCUCUAAGCCCCAACUCGAACUCUCAAGCCUCUUUCUUCCUCUCAAGCUUCACAAACAACCAAAUGCACCAAAAUGGCCUUAGAACACACAAAAACGGCUAGGGCUUCGAUAUACAACUUUUUGGGAAUGAUAACGAUGAUGGAGGAUGAGAUAAGGCAUUUAAAUAGGGUGCAAACUGUCACACCCCCAAACCGGAAUGACGGAAAUGUUCGGGGGUGGAGGACGUCAUGUGUAGUAUCACAACAAUUGAAUCAUAGUAAUCAAAGUAAACACAACCAUUACAUUAUGAUAUGAAUAUUUACAUAUGUUUGUUCCAUAAUUAGAUAAAUCAAAAGUAUAAUAAAGUAAACGACGUGGCUCUAUAUAUUUCGUCUUCUCAAAACUCCAGGAGGUACUUGUUUAUUGAUUACUUGAGAAUCCAAGCGAUUUUGAAAACGUAUCAGCAUAAAGCUGGUGAGUUCAUAAGCAUGUUUUUAAUGAAAACUUGUAAAGAGAUAUGUAAAAUGUAUGUAUGUUUUCCAAGAACAUCCAAUAUUUUCUAACAUAUUUGUUUGAUAUAGUAAGUGAAUUAUGAUUUGUUUUGAAAACCAUGGCUACCACCAGUAACUAAUGUAUGAUAUAUUUUGAAAACCCUGUCUAUUGCCAACAUGUAAAGUACUGAAGCUUAGUCUGGGAAAAUCCCUUAUUUUCCCUUGUAUGCGUGUGUUGUUGCUUUAGUGGUUCUGAAACUGAAAGGCAUAAGUAUCACACUUAUGUUAUUAAAGCAAAUGUUCAUGAGUGGUAUAUUAUUACGUAAAUAUAUCGUUAUUAUUGGUGAGUUUUAUGACCAUACUAAACUUGAUACGACGUGAAUCUGACAUUGAUAUCCUUUAUCACUUUGUCACUCGUAGACCUGCCGGUCCUACUGUAGCUAGCCGUAAAGUGCGAGGUAGUCAAUCCCGUGUAGAUCUAUACACAAAAGUCACGUUCUCCCUCCAGGAGACUCUGGUUCAUAAGGGUAGUCCUCCACUUAGUUAAGUUUGUAAGCGCCGAAGGACGUGUCUCCCAAUUAGGUUAAUGACUUUACAAGUAAUGAUAUAUGCAAAGUAAGGUUCUUUUUGUACUCGAAUUCGAUGUAUGUAUCGUAGAGUAAAAAUAAUUAUAAUUAAAUAAUUAUUAACUGUUGUUCUCUUGUAAUAUGCAUCAUAAACUAAAUCUGACAUAGUUUAUUUGUUCAAUCGUGUAAGUAGUUUGUAUCUGUAAAACUAGUAAUGAAAUUCCCCAAACUAUACCCAUUAUAGUUUAACUGUUAAGUUCAUGAAUCUGUUCUGAAAACAAUGUAAUUAAAUUUAGAAAACGUCCCAUAUGCUCCACAUAAUACAAGAGGGAUAAAUUAUCUAAAUGCUUUAUGAAAACCGUUGAAUUGCAUAAAUUUUGACUUAUUGAAAAACUUUAAUUUUUGGCUUGUAUUCCCCCCCCCCCCCCCUUGAAAACGUUUAAAAACCCUAAAAGCGUAGGGGUAUGAACUCACUGUUUGAUGUGUAAUUCGAAUGUAAGAUCGAUAGGGAUGCUGAGUGUCAAAUGAAGUCUCGAACACAAACGGAUCCUAUUUAACAUAUAAUAGCAUAUAUAUAUUAGAUUAGGGUAUAACACNNNNNNNNNNNNNNNNNNNNNNNNNNNNNNNNUAUAUAUAUAUAUAUUAGAUUAGGGUAUAACACCACUAAUUAGGGAGGAAACCACCUUAGAGACUAGGAAACACUUGAAACUAAGUGUUUGAAUCAUAUAUGAUUGAAGAAGGGGAGUUUGCGGUCACAGAAAGGGGUUUACAGUCAUAGGUUUGCGGCCGAAGAGUGUACGGCCCAUAGGUGUACGGCCAAGGAGUUUGCGGCCAUACACUCUUGAAGAAAGGUGCGAUUUAUGGUGUUUUAAGGUUCUUUCUAGCCUCCUCGAAGUGUUCUAGGUCUCAUGCAUAGUUUUAAGAAGAGUUUAAGGUCAAUCUAUGAUCAAAAACUAGGGUUUGCGGCCAAUAAGGGGUGUACGGCAGUACACAUGGGUUUACGCCCAUAAACCCUUCGUGUUCAUGCUUAUAGGGUCGAUUUCAAGGUGAAAAUCAAGGAUUUCUAGUAGAUAGCAAGCAUAGGAAGCAAUUACUUACUUUUAGGAAGCUUAAAGGGCAUUUUUGACCACCAAUAAGUAGUGUGUGUUCUUGGUGUUCUUGGUGAGAGAUGAAGAUCUAAACAAAGAUGAGAUUAAUGAGAUAGGAACAUGGAUUCACCAUUAGAUAGAGGAUUGAAAAACAUACAAGGUGGAGAACCACUUACAUCUUGAAGAUCUUGGAGAAAAACUUGAUGAAGGUAGAGAGAGAGAGAGAGAGGGAGGGAGUUCUAUGUUUGAAGAGUGUAAAGAGACAAAUGAAGGUUGAGCAUCCCUUAUAUAGGGGUAGUUUUCAGCCGUAGAGUGGGUGGGGGUGUACGGCCGUAAACUCGAGUUUUCGACCCUACACUCCUCUCGAAGGGGUGUUUGGCCCUGAUACUAUAUUAUGAUUUACAAAACGCGUUCUUGGACCCAAAACUUGAUUGCAGUGAACUUAGGAUAUUUAGUUAGACUCAAAAUUAUGCUAACGAUAACAUAAAUAAAUCUUAAUUGAAUGAUUUUUAAACGGUUCACACAAAAAGUAAUUUCGGGUUGUCACAUCAUCCCCCCGAUAGAGGGAAUUUCGUCCCAAAAUUCAAACAUAGAAUACAAAUUAGGGACUCGAAAAGAGAUGCAGAUAUUUCUGUUUCAUUGAAUCUUCGCGCUCCCGUGUAAAUUCAGGUCCCCGCCUGGCAUUCCAACGAACCUUCUCUAUUCGUAUGCGGAUUCAUUUUGUUCGUUUGAUCUCUCGGUCCAUGAUUUCGACUAGUUCUUCCACGAAGUUAAGGUUCUCGUUGAUCUCGAUCUCAUGAAGAGGGAUCACAAGGGUCUCUUCGAAUAAACACUUUUUAAGAUUUGAGACGUGCUAGACGGGAUGGAUGUUGCUAAGCUCUUAGGGUAAAUGAAGUUUGUACGCUAUACGACCGAUCCUAGGGAGGAUCUCGAAUGCUCCUACAUAUCUUGGAUUCAGCUUUCCACGCUUUCUGAAGCGUAUCAUGCCCUUCCUGGGUGAGACCUUCAAUAGAACACGGUCACCCACCUGGAAUUCCAAGGGUUUUCGUCUCAUAUCAGCGUAGCUCUUUUGUCUGUCUCGUGAAGCUUUUAGUCGUUCUCGGAUUUGUAUGGUCUUUUUUGUAGUUUCAUGGAUGAUUUCUGGGCCUAUGAGAAUGCUGCCAUGGACUUGACCCUUAGCUAACUGCGUGUCACCCACUUUAGCCCAACACAGAGGGGAUCUGCACUUACGACCAUACAAGGCUUCAAACGGGGCACCCUUGAUACUGGUAUGAUAAUUGUUGUUGUAGGAGAAUUCAACCAAGGGCAAAUGGUUGUCCCAAGACAUACCAAAAUCUAUGAUACAUGCUCUCAACAUGUCUUUCAAGGUCUGAAUGGUCCUCUCACUCUUCCCGUCUGUCUGAGGAUGGUAAGCUGUGCUCAUAUCCAACUUAGUUCGGGGAGCCUCUUGUAGUGACUGCCAAAAUCACAAGGUGAAUCUGCUAUCCCGAUCGGAGAUAAUGGACACAGGCACACUGUGUAGGCAAACUAUUUCUGGAUGUAGAUUCGCAUAAGUCUUUCCAUUUUGAAAGUUUCUUUGAUUGGCAGGAAGUGGGCGGAUUUGGUCAAUCGAUCGACAAUUACCCAUAUGGUAUCAUACCCACUCGGAGAUUUGUGUAAUUUAGUGAUAAAAUCCAUAGUAAUCCUCUCCCACUUCUACUCAGGUAUUUCCGGCUACAGAAGCAAACAUGAGGGCUUUUGAUACUUGAUAUUCACCUUGGCUCAAGUCAGACACUUGCCGAAGAAGGUAGCGAUCUCUGCUUUCAUGUUUGGCCACCAAUAUAGCUUCUUAAGAUCCAGGUACAUCUUAUCCGAACCUGGAUGAACAGAGUAUCAAGUCUUAUGAGCUUCGUUCAUGACAACCUCCCUGUAACCACCGAACUUUGGGGUCCAAAUCCGGUCCAUGAAAUAAUAGACUUCAUCUCCCUUGAUUUCUAAAUUCUUUUCCAUCCCUCUCAAGGCUUCAUCCGGCAUGUUCUCUAGUUUCAAGGCCUCCAGCUGAGCCCCUUUGAUUAGCGCAGAUAAAUGGGAAUGGAUAGUGAUUGUAAGUACCUUAGUUCUACGACCUAAGUGCUCCUUCUGACUGAGGGCGUCAGCUACCACAUUGGCCUUGCCGAGAUGAUAGUGUAUCUCGCAUUCAUAAUCACUGAGUAGUUCCACCCAUCACCGUUGUCUCAUGUUCAACUCCUUCUGGUCAAAAAUGUGUUGUAAGCUUUUAUGUUCAGUAAAGAUAGUGCACUUGGUUCCAUAGAUAUAAUGUCUCCAUAUUUUCAAGGCAAAGACCACUACUCCCAACUCCAAUUCGUGAGUUGUAUAGUUGACUUCGUGUGCUUUCAGUUUCCUUGAGGCGUAAGUAAUAACCUUUCCUCGCUGCAUGAGCACAUAGCCUAAGCCCUAACUGGAUGCAUCGCAGAAGACAACGAAAUCCUCCGUCCCUUCGGGCGGAGACAGGAUAGGUGCGCUGCAUAGGGGCUGCUUUAAUGUUUGAAAUGCACUGUCUUGCUUUUCACUCCAACUAAAAGGUACACUUUUCUGUGUCAAGGUGGUUAAAGGCUUAGCAAUCCUUGAGAAAAUUUGGAUAAACCUGCGAUCAUAGCCAGCGAGGCCCAAGAAUUGACGGAUUUCUGUGGGCGUCUUUGGUGCUAAUCAAUUUUCUAUUGCUUUGAUCUUGUAAGGGUCCACGUGUAUGCCUUCCUCGCUUAAAACGUGACCGAGGAAAAUUACUUUUCGGAUCCAGAAUUUGCACUUAGAGGACUUUGCAUAUAGCUUCUCCGCUCUUAGUGUUUCUAACACUAGCCUCAAGUGCUGCUAUGAUCUUCCUCACUCCGAGAGUAGACAAGUAUAUCAUCAAUGAACACAAUUACAAACUUGUCUACAAAAGGGCGGUACACCCGAUUCAUCAAAUCCAUGCAUACUGUCGGUGCGUUAGUUAGACCAAAGGGCAUUACUACAAACUCAUAGUGUCCAUAAUGAGUUUGGAUGUUGUCUUGGGAACAUCAUUAUCAUGAACUCGAAACUGAUGGUACCCUGAUCUUAGGUCUAUAUUUGAAAAGUAGCUGGCUCCUUGGAGUUGAUCAGAAAGGUCGUUGAUUCUGGGAAGAGGAUAACGAUUUUUGACGUUAAUCUUGUUAAGCUCAUGAUAAUUAACGCACAACUGAAAAGAUCCAUCCUUCUUUUUCACAAAUAAGACCGGGGCUCCCCAGGGUGAGGAACUCAGCCUAAUGAAUCCUUUGCUGAGUAGCUCAUUGAGCUGGCUGGAUAACUCUUGCAUUUCUUCUGGCGCUAGACGGUAUGGGGAUUUAGCUACAGGGGUAGCUCUGGGGAUUAAGUCGACUUGGAAAUCAACUUGGCGCUCGGGAGGAAUUCCCGGAAGCUCUUCAGGAAAACCAUCAGGAAAAUUGUAGACUUCAGGGAUGUUCUCGUGGUCUUUAACUUCCUGUUUCUCAUUAACCACAUGGGCUAGGCAUGCAUGGCACUCCUUUCACAUAAAUUUUUGAGCUCUGGUGCAUGAAAUGAUGCGGAGGUUUGAGCUGAGUUUAUCACCAUUGAUCAUGAGGGCUUCCCCCAGAGGGAAGAUUGAGACGGAUACGUUUUUCAUAGCAAAGGAUAUCAGCACGAUUGGGGCUCAACCAAUCCAUGCCGACGAUGACAUCGAAGCUUUUUAUGGAAACUGGCAUAAGUUCCAUAGGAAAGGAAUGGCCGUUUAAGGUAAGGGUACAACCCAUGAAUAUGUUGUUAGUGCUCUCUUUCUUUCCGUUAGCCAUCUCCAUGGUGAAUGUUUCGGUUAAAAAUUGAGGUUUAUGUUUAAGAAGGUGUUUGAAUUCAUGAACGAAAAAACUUCCCUCCACACCAGAAUCGAAAAGAAUGCAUGCAUAAGACUUGUCAAGGAGGAACGUACCCGAAACAACGGUGGGAUCUGCAACUGCGUCCUCCUGUCCCAUUGCCAUCAAAGGAAUUGGGCUCUACGUUAAUGAAGUCUUUGUAGGAACACUCCCUUGGGUGUCCUUGACCACCCUCGGGAUGUUAGGGAUGGGUACCACUUCUUGAUCUGCUAGAACCACUAGGAUUCAUCUGAGCCAUCGCAGCAGCCACAGAGGCGGUAACUGCUACUUGAAACAUAACCAGAUCAAAUUGAGGAGGUGGUGGUGGCGGUGUUGGAUCCGUCGAGGAAUUGUUGUUCUUUUUGUUGGGUCUUUUCUUUGGAGGCUUCUUGUUCUAAAAAUAAUCAGGAAGAAGAGGAUGGUAAGUACCCUGGAUUUGAAUCAAGAGAUAUGGAACAUGAUGUAUCUCAGCCUGAUAGAUGGAGUGUUCUACUAAGCGAUAAACAAGGAAAAGUUACUAAUGCAAGUAAACUACCGCUAAAGGAAUGAGUAGCAACACUGUAAAAUGAAUCUCUGCAAUGUAUUUGAUUCUAGUUAAAAUACUCCUAUAGCAUUUUAAAUUGUAUGUUUUCUUAUAUCGAUAUCUUGUUGUAGGUAUACUUGGUAAGUUUUAGGCCUGCUGCACAUCGCAGUCACUCCCAAGCACAUGUUGGUCAUGUAUUGAAUAAAUAUAGUUAAUCAAGCUAUAUUGACCCUAUACAUGAUUACAUAACUGCCCAGGUUUAGCCGCAGUGUCCAACAACCAAGUACUUUUGUUUUGUUCUACUUUAGAUAUUGUUUCUGGUACGUAUGUAUAUUUGUAUACUUCUUGAAAAAUGCUUAUAUUGUUAAAGUAUACUCUUAGUUCAGAGCGCUUCAGCCCCUUAGUGUUUAUAGUUGUAUACCAUGUAAGUUCGGUAUACUUCGUUCACUAUAAACAAUAGCUCUGAUACCAAUCUGUCACACCCCCAAACCGAAACGGCGGAAAUGUUCGAGGGUGGAGGACGUCAUGUGUAAUAUCACAACAAUUGCAUCAUAGUAAUCAAAGUAAACACAACCAUUACAUUAUGAUUUGAAUAUUUAGAUCUGUUUGUUCCAUAAUUAGAUACAUCAAAAGUAUAACAAAAGUAAAAUAUGUGGCUCUAUAUAUUCCGUCUACUCAAAACUCCAGGAGGUACCUAUCUAUUGAUUACUUGAGAAUACAAGUGAUUUUGAAAACGUAUCAUCAUAAAGCUGGUGAGCUCAUAUGUAACGCCCGUGUUUCUAGGCUAGGAAUUAAUAUUGACAUAAUGGUAUAGGUUAACCUUUGUAACUCAUUUAGAAGAAAUGAAAAGGAAUUAUGUGAAUUUAAUGUGAAUUAUGUGUUUUAUGCUUAAUUACUUGGGUUUAAUUAAUUAAGAAUAAAAAUAAGCAUCAAAAUUAAAGUGUGAGAUAAGCCCGAUAUCUUUACAUAAAGUUGUAGUGGUCGAAACAUGGAUUCCGGGGAUAUAAAGAAUGCCGAAAUCCGAGUUAUAACGAAGAAGUUAUGACAUGUCGAAGUUUCGCGACAAAACCGGCUCGGUGUUGAAUGUCGUAAAAAGUGAGUUUUUGAUAAACUACUUUUUAGCCUUAGUAAUCUAAACGAAAGUCGUAGUAUUCGUUAAACCGAGAACUUCGAUAAAAAGAACGCCCAAAUCUGACUUCGUAUGAGGAAGUUAUGAUUUUUCGAAGUUUCAGCUUAGCAGUAGACAGCUAAAAACUCGAAUUUUAGAUCGAGCGAUUUUUAGCCGACACAACCUAAACGAGAAUCGAAGGUCUCGUCAUUAGGAGCACAACGGUAAAAAGUCUAACGAAAACGGACGUCGGAUGAAGAAGUUAUGAAUUUUUAACGGAUUUCCUGUCCCGGUCUGUUAAAAAUAAUAAUAUAAAAUUUAAAGUCAAAAUUAGCCGACGAAGUCUAAACGGAAGUUGUAGAGCGUAAUUUUAGCUACGUGUGCAUAAAAAGAACAUCAAAACGGAGCUCGUAUGCGAAAGUUAUGGAUUUUAGAAGUUUUGGCGCGAAAAACGAGAAAAAUCCCCAAAACCGAGUAAUUUCGCACACGUGGACUUCGGCCACGUCACCGAAGCCACCUGGCGAGGCGUGUCAUGAUCUUCACGAGUCCGAGGUUCGGUCCAGUAGAAAUGCGACACAUGCCUCUUCCCUCGUGCGUCUGAACCCUCGCAGGUGCCACGAACCCCCUCAUCGGAUCCGGACUUCGGUCCAAUCACAAGCUGUCAGCGAGGCCUUCGCAUGCACAGACCAUGUGCGAGCCACCUCCCUGCGAGCCCCCGGAUCUGCGACGCGUGUCUUCCCUCCUGACCGUCCGAUCAGAAGCCUCGCCCCUAUAAAUAGAAGGGUGCGAGACCUCUCGGGUAACUUUGAAAAUUCGUCAAUUUUAACCCCCAAACCCAUAUUUUAUUCAUCUUAACAUCCCGCAAAGCCCCGGUAUCGAUUGUAAAGCCUGGAAUACUCCAUGGAGUGCCCGAGAAGCCCGGAAAAUUUAUUUUUUCGGUUUCGAAGCCCGACUUUUGAAAAGCCCGGUUUCUCAAUAAAACACACGGUUUUAUUAAGAAACGAUCGUUUUAGGAAACAAAUUGCUGCCCGAUUAUCACUAAAUCAUGUGAGUGUAUAGUCACUUUCAUUUUACACAUAGAUAUGAAGUAUUUAACUUAUAAUAUGUGUUAUGUGUAAACUGUAUAAGUAUUUUUAUCCAAGUUUUAAACUGUAUAAGUAUUUUUAUCUACGAAUAUGUUGGGUAGAACAUGGGUAGAUACUGAUGUGUGAUAAAAUAAAAUUUGAGGAGAGGCCUCGAUGAGUUUUGAGAUCAACUUAUCUAGCGGAGUUUGGAUGACGACCACGGAUGUUCUAGACGGUCCAGUGGGAAACAUUAGCAGGUCCGCAACCUGUAGGUGUUAAUAAACUUGGGUGUUCAUUUGCUGUACUCCAUCCCCCUCAUGGUUGCCUUUAGGACAUGUAUGGAUGAGGAAACCCCUUAGCAGUAGUGUCCAUCCCGAUGAUAUUCUUCAGGCUAGGUCCCUUGUGAAAAGUGUUUAGGGACAUAAAGUAAGGAUAACGGGAAUGGGUAAUCAGGGUUAUUGUUGAUUGAUGAACUUAGUAAGUUUAUUAUUAUUGUGGGUUGAAAACCCUAUAUGCUCACCAGACUCCCAAGCCUGACCCACUCAGCUUUUUAUGUUACAGGAAGUGGACCCCGAGCAUACUCGGAGGACGACGAGAGAUUUUUGGAUCAUAGGCCAGUAAUUGUAAAUAACUGUUGAAAGGCUUAUAAUGUCUUGUUCAUGCUUUCGAUCUGUAUCGGCACAUGACAUCCCGAGGUUUUGAUAUAUAUGGAAAAUAUAUACCUUCUUAAUGAAGGAUUUCGAUAAACUUUUAUCAUAUGUUGUUUGGGGACCAAUUCCGCAACAUCUUUUAAAAAGAUUUCUCUGAUUUUGUUUUAAAAAGCAUAAAUUACAUCGGUCUUUUCUAGCCGAGAAAUUAGAGGAUGUCACGUUGGUAUCAGAGCACUAGUUUAAGCGAACUAAAAAAUUGUAGAAUUUCUAGACUUAAACUUAGAAUGCUAAGUGAUGAUUGUGAGAUGAGUGUCUACCAUAUUUUAGACACGAGCACUAGUUUAUUUUAGGAAAGAUGCCUAAAACGCCCUGAUGUGCUAAAUGUUAUAUGUUUGCCAUAUAUGCCAUUAUUGUUCGGAUCUAUGGUCUGUUGCCGACCGGAUAUGGAAACCUUAUAUGUAUAGGAUUCUAACCGUAUGAUUACGAGAUUAGAACUAACAUGUAAAGGUUUUGGAGGGAUAAGGGAAUUUAAAUACCUAUCGAGGGUAAAGACCUAAAUUCGCCUUAUUCGGUAUAUAGAUUGUAAUGGCAGGAACUCGUAGUGGAGUUGCAAAUGCAAAUGGAAACAGGGAUCAAGAGCCUCAACCUCAAGUAGUUGAGCAAGUACCUAUUGUAGGAGCUGCACCUGAGCGAAUGACGAUGGUUGGGGUACAAGCAAUAAUCCAGAUGAUGUUAGAUCACCAGAUGGAGGAGACAAGGUGAUUACUGCAACAACAUAGGGAAGAGACUACGAUGCCUGUUGAGUAGCCCGUAUUGAAUGAAGGGCAAUCAAUAGGAGGGAACUAUAGUGGGACGUUUGGUCAAGCCAACCCACCGAUAGUUAGACAAGACAAACAGGAUAGAGGAACUGAUGGACGCGGGUGCAAAUACAAAGAUUUCAUGGAAUCUAAGCCGCCGUGUCUAUUUGGGAGUCCGACACCUGUGGAAGUCAUGAAUUGGAUCUCGGAAAUGGAGACGACGUUUGAAAGUUGCAAGUUCAGCAACAAACAAAAGACCGCACUUGCAAUUCCUCUAUUAAGGUCUGGUGUGUUGAACUGGUGGAAGUUACUAGCUAAUUCGAUGCCCAAGGGAGAAGCUAGUAAGAUGUCUUGGGAAGACUUUGUACUACAACUAAAACUGCAAUACUGCUCUGAGCAGGAUCUUCUGGAAACUAAUAAUGAGUUCCAGAAUUUAAAGAAGGGAAAGAUGAGCGUUACUGAAUACGCUGCUAGUUUUACUGAAAAGAUGAAGCUUGUUCAUUACCUAGUUCCAACUGAACUCUCUAAGAUCAACAAGUUCCCCCUCGGAUUACCAGCGGAUUUUGGUCCGAUGGUCAAGCAAGCAACCACUUUGGAAGCCGCCAUCUGGGCUGCUAAGAACGUUGAGGUUCAGAUCAGAGAGAAGGGUCUGGAGAGUGCGGAAGUUGGUGAAAAGAGAAAAUUUGAAGGAACUUCAAGUUCCAGUAAGAGAAGCAAAUUUUCUAAGUUUAAGAAGUUUGGAGGAGUAGGAGGUGAAGUGAAGUGGUGUGAUAAGUGCAAGAAAAAGCACUCAGAGAAAUGUAUUGAGGAGGUGACUUGCUUCAAAUUUGGAAAGACUGGGCAUUAUGCCAACGUGUGUCCAUCCAACAAGAGGGUAUGUUUUGAGUGCCAUGAAGAAGGGCAUGUUUUUAAAGACCGUCCAAAGAGGAAGGAUGCUGCAAAGCCCAAUCUGCCACCAAAGCCGAAGGCGAGAGCCUGUCAGAUGACACUUGAGGCUGCAAAAGAAGAAGAUCAAGUCAUAAAGUAGUAAUGUGAAUAGUAACAAGUAGUUAGGCCUAUUAGAAGCAUAGUAUUGGGUAAACUUAAACCUUUGUGUAAUCGUUUCAAGGAAAUAAUAUAAACCCUGGUUUUGUUAUAUGAUGAAUUGAAUGACAAUGUGAAAUUUUUGUAUGGCGAUUUGGAGAACUGCGAGACAAUACUUGGGACGAGUAUGAGUAGGUGUGAAUGGUAGUAGUGGCCUAUACUACCGGAAGCACAAGACUCGUAGUUGGAUCAGAGAAAGUCACAAGGUUACCAAGGAGCUAUUAUUUGAUUCUGUCUUGUUCUAGUCUUUUGUUACCAUCGUUUCGGUAAUGACUAAGAAGAUGAUUGUUAUUUCGACCAUAGAGGUCAGAUUGAAUCGAGUCCGACUAAGAUAAGUAUGUUACAUGGUUCAGAGAACGAAGUUCGAUGUAGAAUUUGACUUAAGCCAGAAGAUAAAGGUUAAAGAUGAUUAAAGCGAUCAACAGAAGUAUCGUACUAAUUGUUAAAGAGGUUGAUAUUUAGGAAUGAUACAUGUUGAAUUGUGAUUGUAUCACAUUAGAACGUGAAGGAAGGUGUAGUUUGUUCUGAAAAUUGUACCAAGGAGAUCUGAGUCUAAGUAGUGCAGUAUAAAAUGAGAGAUCAUUAGAACAUGACCCACCGGUCUGUGACUGUAAAUGAAGGAAAGUACUUAUUCUAAGAAAAAGAAGGAUCCCUCAAUAAGGAUUUAUUUUGUAACUCGAAGGUUACGAUUCAAAGUCCUAUGGAGAUCUGAAGCUUUUUAGGAUUAGAUGGAUAUUAUCACUGAAUUAUCCAAGGCUUUUCUUCGAUUGCGACUCCAUUGACAGCAUUGACCCACAAAGGAGUUGUCAUAUACUUGGAAUGAGAAGCAUAGGAAGCUUUGAGAAGUUAAAGAAGACGUCGUGUGAAGCGCCGACUCUCUCGUCACCUGACGGAGUUGAUGACUUCACAGUUUAAUGUGAUGCCUCUGGAGUUGGGUUAGGUUAUGUUCUGACCAAAAAGGGAUAAAGUGAUAGUGUGUGCAUUGAGGCAAUUGAAGGAGCAUGAAAAGAACUACCCCACUCACGAUUUGGAGUUGGCAGCGGUAGUAUUCCCCCUAAAGAUAUGGAAGCAUUAUCUUUAUGGCACAAAGUGUAAACUUUUCACUGAUCAUAAGAUUGUUCAAUAUCUCUUUAAUCAGAAGGAAUUCAACAUGAGGCAACGGUGCUUGCUAGAGUUAUUCAAGGACUACGACUGUGAGAUACUUUACCACCCUGGUAAAGCAAAUGUUGUUGCUGAUACUCUCAGUCGGAAUGUAAGUAUUGAAAAGAUGAGGGCCAAGAGCAUUAAGAAUUAAAGUUGUCUUGACAAUUGUGAAAGGUAUAAAGAAAUCUCAAGAGGAAGCUUUACAGAAAAAUGACCGAAAGGAGAAACGUUUGAGUAAAACGUUGGUGUUUGGUACAAACGGUCAAGGAAUGGAGGUAUUCAAAGAUAGGAUUUGGGUACCUAGGAUGGGAGGAAUAAGAGGUCUUCUGGUGGAAGAAGCUCACAAGACCAUGUACUCGAUUCAUCCUGGCAAUACGAAAAUGUAUAGAGAUCUAAAACCCUAUUACUAGUAGCCGACGAUGAAGCUCAAAGUUGCUAAAGUAUGUAGUUGAGUUUGUAACUUGUGCCAGGGUUAAGGCACAUCAUCAGAAAACAUGUGGGAGUUUAGAAUCUUUACCUGUACCCAUGAGUAAAUGGGAAGAUAUCACUAUGGAUUCUGUGACUAAAUUUCCCAGAACAAGGAACGGUCACGACAUGAUUUGGGUAGUCGUUGAUCGCUUCACUAAGAGUGCGCAUUUCAUAGCAGCCAACGAGAAAUGGUCUAUGGAUAAACUUGCGAAUUCUUAUGUGAAAGAAAGUGUGAGGCUUCAAGGUGUUUCGAUAACGAUUGUAUCCGAUCGUGACAGCCGUUUUACCUCAAGGUUUUGGAGGAGUCUAUAAGAGGAAUUGGGUACCAAGUUGUGUUUGAAUACAACUUACCAUCUGCAAACCGAUGGUCAGAGCGAAUGGACGAUUCAAACGUUGGAUGAUAUGUUGAGAGCAUGUACCCUAGAAUUUCAAAGUAACUGGGAUGAACACUUACCUUUAGUAGAAUUCACCUAUAAUAAUAGUUUCCACUCAAGUGUCAAGAUGGUACCUUAUCACGCUUUGCAUGGGAAAAAGUGUCGGAUGCCAUCAUGUUGGCUGGAAGCUGAGGAAAAGCAGUUUAUGGGACUUGAAAUAGUCCAUUAGAUUGCUGAAAACUUGUAAGUGAUUAGGGAAAAAGAAAUUAGCUGCUCAAAAGAGCUAUGCUGACAAGAAAAGACAACCGAUAUCAUUCAAAGUUGGAGAUUUGGUUUCACUUAAAGUCUUGUCGUGGAAGGGACUUAUAAGAUUUGGUAGAAGGGGAAAGUUGAGUCCAAGGUUUAUUGGACCAUUUAAAGUUCUUCAGAGAAUCCGGAAUCAAGCUUACAAGCUAGAAUUACCGGAAGAACUAGAGAGUGUUCAUAACACCUUUCAUGUGUGUUAUUUGAGAAAGUUCACGAGAGGUGUGCCCAACAUAAUUCCCAUUUCUGAAUUAAGGUUGGACGAGAACAUGAGGUUAAUUGGAGAAACUGAGGCAAUCGUUAACCGUAAGACUAAGAAGUUGUAACGUAAGAUAGUCGAUUUAGUGCCUGUACGUUGGAAACAUAUAAAUGGGCCAGAUCCCUCCUGGGAAACGGAGAGUGACAUAGUAAGUCGCUACCCAUAGUUGUUUGUCGUUGUGUGAUUCCAGGGACGGAAUCAUCCUAAGGGGGAGAGAGUUGUAAUGCCCGUGUUUCAAGGCUAGGCAUUAAUAUUGACAUAAUGGUCUAGGUUAACCUCUAUAACUCAUUUAUAAGAAAUGAAAAGGAAUUAUGUGAAUUUUAUGUGAAUUAUGUGUUUUAUGCUUAAUUAUUAGUGUUUAAUUAAUUAAGAAUAAAAAUAAGUCUCAAAAUUAAAGUGUGAGAUAAUCCCGAUAUCAUUACAUAAAGUUGUAGUGGUCGAAACAAGGAUUCCGGGAAUAUAAACAAUGCCGAAAUCCGAGUUAUAACGAAGAAGUUAUGACAUGCCGAAGUCUCGCGACAAAACCGGCUCGGUGUUGAAUGUCGUAAAAAGUGAGUUUUUGAUAAACUACUUUUUAGCCUUAGUAAUCUAAACGAAAGUCGUAGUAUUCGUUAAACCGAGAAGUUCGAUAAAAAGAACGCCCAAAUCUGACUUCGUAUGAGGAAGUUAUGAUUUUUCGAAGUUUCAGCUUAGUAGUAGACAGCUAAAAACUCGAAAUUUAGAUCGAGCGAUUUUUAGCCGACACAACCUAAACGAGAAUUGAAGGUCUCGUCAUUAGGAGCACAACGGUAAAAAGUCUGACGAAAACGGACGUCGGAUGAAGAAGUUAUGAAUUUUUAACGGAUAUCCUGUCCCGGUCAAUUAAAAAUAAUAAUAUAAAAUUUAAAUUGAAAAUUAGCCGAUGAAGUCUAAAAGGAAGUUGUAGAGCGUAAUUUUAGCUACGCGUGCAUAUAAAGAACGUCAAAAACGGAGCUCGUAUGUGAAAGUUAUGGAUUUUAGAAGUUUUGGCGCGAAAAACGAGAAAAAUCCCGAAAACCGAGUAAUUUCGCACACAUGGACUUCGGCCACGUCACCCUCGCUGCGCAUCCGACGCGUGUCCAGAAAUUGCUGAGUCACCGAAGCGACCUGGCGAGGCGUGUCAUGAUCUUCAUGAGUCCGAGGUUUGUUCCAGUAGAAAUGCGACACNNNNNNNNNNNNNNNNNNNNNNNNNNNNNNNNNNNNNNNNNNNNCCUCAUCGGAUCCAGACUUCGGUCCAAUCACCAGCUGCCAGCAAGGCCUUCGCAUGCGCAGCCCACGUGCGAGCCACCCCCUGUGAGCUUCGGAUCUGCUGCCGCGUGUCUUCUUCCUGACCAUCCGAUCAGAAGCCUCGCCCCUAUAUAUAGAAGGGUGCGAGACCUCUCGGGUAACUUUGAAAAUUUGUCAAUUUUAACCCCUAAACCCAUAUUUUCGUCAUCUUAACAUCCCGCAAAGCCCCGGUAUCGAUUGUAAAGCGUGGAAUACUCCACGAAGUGCCCGAGAAGCCCGACAAAAUUUAUUUUUUCUGUUUCAAAGCCCGACUUUUGCAAAGCCCGGUUUCUCAAUAAAACACCCGGUUUUAUUAAGAAACGAUCGUUUUAGGAAACGAAUUGCUGCCCGAUUAUCACUAAAUCAUGUGAGUGUAUAGUCACUUUCAUUUUACACAUAGAUAUGAAGUAUUUAACUUAUAAUACGUGUUAUGUGUAAAUAUAUUAAUUGUUUAUUUGAGGUGACUGUUGAGUUGACGUUUUAUACAAGUUUUAAACUGUAUAAGUAUUUUUAUCUACAAAUAUGUUGGGUAGAACAUGGGUAGAUAGUGAUGUGUGAUAAAAUAAAAUUUGAGGAGAGGCCUCGAUGAGUUUUGAGAUCAAGUCAUCUAGCGGAGUUUGGAUGACGACCACGGACGUUCUAGACGGUCCAGUGGGAAACAUUAGCAGGUCCGCAACCUGUAGGUGUUAAUGAACUUGGGUGUUCAUUCGCUGUACUCCAUCCCCCUCAUGGUUGCCUUUAGGACAUGUAUGGCUGAGGAAACCCCUUAGCAGUAGUGUCCAUCCCGAUGAUAUUCUUU
rnacentral:lncRNA from 1 species